AGGCAGGUGCGUUGACCGAUUCAAGGUGAGAUGUUUUUAUCAAUAGGCGUUAAUUAUUUAAUCACUUGAGUUAAUUGGUUGUGCUAACGUGAGUGGCUGGAUCUGCGGUUUAAAGGCUGUACCUACAUUGUGUGAAAUUUCUACAGCUUUUUUUUGGAGGACAAUCCACCGCGACCCACACUCUGUUGGCGGCUUUAUCCACACGAUUGUCGUUGCGUGUUUUAUAGUUUGGUUGUACGUGGAAUUAAGUUCCUGGAAAGUUGCACAGUUAAGGAAUGCCACACAUGAGACACAGAUGGUUGUGUCCGGCCUACUUAUCAAGUCCUCGUUGCUACUAUGCCACCACCCAGCCAUUGUACCAUAGAAAUAUCGAGCCAUCGAGUCACCGCAAUACCGGAGAAAGUAAACAAGGUGCUGUACACGGGCGUACGCACGGAGCGAGGAGCGAGUAUGGCAACGAGCGAUGCGUGCGCGGCAUGAAUAGAAAUCACUUCAAUUUGUAUGCCCCCCCUGCCAGCGGAUAAUCAACUGUUUAUUUGCCCCUCAUUUAUACCAAUAAAUGAAAACAUUUUAUAGUAUUUUGCCAAUUAUACAACUUGUCUAAAACUGA